GUUUUCUAUCAACCCUAGCCGACUCCCUCACCCUCAAACACUCUGAAAUAUUCUACCAUCAUCCCUUAUCAUUAGCUUUCGCAUUCGCAAAUUUCUGAAAUUGUUGCUACGUUACAUCAAUAGGCUAUAUCCUCCUUAAUCUCUACGCUUCGAAAUCAAUUAAGACUCGUCGACUAUGCGUGCUACGGAGUCGAUUCAGGUUUUGUCGCUUGCCAGGUUUUCACGUGGAUUAGCAAGCUGUGAGUUUGUAGUGCUAUUUACCGCUUUAUUAAGUACCGCAUCGUAUUUUAAUAUUAUAAAUGUUUGUGAACUGUUUUUACGGAUUAUGGAUCUGGAUUGAAACGAGCUACUCGAUAGGCUUGUAUCGAGACUGUGUGCACCGGUAAGUACUCUGGGAAACGGCAGACUAAAGUCU